rnacentral:rRNA from 1 species
GACGAACGCUGGCGGCGUGCUUAACACAUGCAAGUCGAACGCUGAAGACCUGGCUUUUGUUGGGUUGGAUGAGUGGCGAACGGGUGAGUAACACGUGAGUAACCUGCCCUCUUCUUUGGGAUAACGCCCGGAAACGGGUGCUAAUACUGGAUAUUCACUGGCCUUCGCAUGGGGGUUGGUGGAAAGGUUUGUUCUGGUGGGGGAUGGGCUCGCGGCCUAUCAGCUUGUUGGUGGGGUGAUGGCCUACCAAGGCUUUGACGGGUAGCCGGCCUGGGAGGGUGACCGGUCACAUUGGGACUGCGAUACGGCCCAGACUCCUCCGGGAGGCAGCAGUGGGGAAUAUUGCACAAUGGGCGAAAGCCUGAUGCAGCGACGCCGCGUGAGGGAUGGAGGCCUUCGGGUUGUAAACCUCUUUCGCUCAUGGUCAAGCCGCAACUGUGGGUUGUGGUGAGGGUAGUGGGUAAAGAAGCGCCGGCUAACUACGUG